UUCCUGGGAUAUGCGCUAGGCCGUCAGACCCCUGAGCCGAUGCUUUAAAACCCGGAGCGAACCAGCCAGUAUUUGUGUGCAUGUCCGCGUGACGGAAAGCCUAAAAAUGCUGCGGUAAGCUCCACCUUGAACCGCUGGGUUCAAGGGCCACGCGGCCGGCGGUAUCCUGGGUC
rnacentral:other from 1 species